UACGUAGGGGGCAAGCGUUGCCCGGAAUCAUUGGGCGUAAAGAGCGUGUAGGCGGCUCGGUAAGUCCGCUCUGAAAGCCCGGGGCUCAACCCCGGGAGGCGGGCGGAUACUGUCGGGCUUGAGUACGGAAGAGGCGAGUGGAAUUCCUGGUGUAGCGGUGAAAUGCGCAGAUAUCAGGAGGAACACCAAUUGCGAAGGCAGCUCGCUGGGACGUUACUGACGCUGAGACGCGAAAGCGUGGGGGAGCAAACAGG
rnacentral:rRNA from 1 species